rnacentral:rRNA from 1 species
UACAGAGGUGGCAAGCGUUGUUCGGAAUUACUGGGCGUAAAGGGCGCGUAGGCGGUUCGAUAAGUCCCGUGUGAAAUCCCUCGGCUCAACUGAGGAACUGCACGGGAAACUGACGGGCUUGAGUUCGGGAGAGGGAAGCGGAAUUCCGGGUGUAGCGGUGAAAUGCGCAGAUAUCAGGAAGAACACCCGUGGCGAAGGCGGUUCUCUGGGACGGUACUGACGCUGAGACGCGAAAGCAUGGGGAGCGAACAGG